GAGUGGUUUGUAUACUGUGGAGAGUGGUUUGUAUACUGUGGAGAGUGGUUUGUUUUUUAUUUUUGUUUUUUUAAAUUUACUUUUUUUUUUUUUUUUUUUUUGUGUUCUGGUUUUCCCCCCCUUUUUUGUGUGCUGCUGCUUGAUUGAUUGGGGGAGUGUUUAUUAAUUACACCUGUGUGGGAUUUGUAUCCCCAUAAAGGCACACCCCUAACUCACUGAGCUUGCUCACAUUAUUUGAAAGCAGC